AAAAGGGGGAGGCAACAACAGAGAAAUCAUUGUGUGAGGGUGCCCGGCGGGGCAGAGGGGCUGUCGGCGGACACCGCUGCCAUCCCCGCCCGGGCAGCAGCCUGGGGAGCCCUCUCCUCUCCCUCUUCCUCUCUUCUCACUCUUCCUCUUCCUCUCCUCUCCCGCUGCCAGCAGCCUUCAUUAGCGCUGCUGCUCGGGGCUCCCGCUGUUCUCCGGGCUGGCCAGGGCUUCCCGGGCAGCCCCAGCCUGAGGUGGCUGCUCUGCUUCCAGGAGCCCGGCUGCCAGAGCAGGGUUUAACCCCUGCCUGCUGGAGCGCAGUUUUCAAGCCGUGCAGCUCAGUUUCUUUUUCUUUUCUCCUUUUCCUUUGUUUAUUUCACUUAAAUGUUAUUUUUGAAAGGCUGCACGCUUUCUGUGGAGGUGCUUGUGUAGUUUGGGAGAUGGGAAGGGAGGAAGCUGUGUCUGAUUCUCUUGGGUUGCAGCUCCCUUUGGCUCCUUAUUAAUUCCCAAAGGCCUGCCAAAGAAAGCUGUCCCACUGGGGAGUGUGAUGAUGAGAUACUCAGGAGGCUCAGGUUUCCCUCUUGGCCCUGAUAGGAUUUGUUCUUGUGUAAGUGGGUAAACCAACUGUGAUAUUUUUAUCUGUGAAAUUUUGGGCACUAACCUACUCCCAAGGGGAAGGGGAACUCCUUGGGUUAAGGAAGAAAGCACUGGCUGGUGCAGGGUCUCCUGGAGGCUCUUGUCCCUCUGGAGAUACCUCAGGAGAAGCUCUGGCCAUCCUCAGUGGGGAAUCCCCCAGGCACAGAAACCUUCAUUCCCUCCUGUUCCAGAAGUAUCCAAGUGCUACCUGCCAGAGUGCUACUCCUCUGACCUGACACCAGGACGGGUGGGGAAACUGGAGAUUCUCGCUGAGCCUAUGCACGACCUGUCUUGUUGCCCGUCCAUUCCUCCUCUGUCAACUAGAACUGAAGAGGCGUUGGUAUCGAAGGAACUGCCAUCCACGGGCUUGGUCACCUACCAGCAAUUCGCCCAGGAUUUGUACCUGGAAGGGCUGCACAAUGCUGAUAAAUACAAAACCAAGAACCGGAGCUCAUCUGUUUUAAUGAGAGACUACUCUGACCUCGAUUGGAAAAGUACCUACAAGCAAGAUUUUGAGCACUGGAAAGGAGUCCGUGGUGCGCUUUACACAGAGGAGAUAAGGCCUUCUCCCGUUUUCCCUGAAGAUAACCGCUUCAAUGAGAGCCGCUGGGUUUCUGAGUAUGCAGACAGCUACAGCAUCUUCCUGAAGAGGCUGGACUGGUCAUCUCCCAUCUCUGCACAAUGGCUGCCCUUUGGGAAGGAUGCACGAUGGACACCGCGAUGGAGAGAGUCCACUCACUGAGUGGUGCUAGGGUGGCUGUG
rnacentral:lncRNA from 1 species